UUACGGCCAUAUCACGUUGAAACACCGGUUCCCGUAUGUUAACCGAAGUUAAGCAAUGUCGAGCCUUAGCAGUAACUAGAUGGGUGACUACUUGGGAAUACCGGGUGCUGAAA